UACGUAGGGGCCGAGCGUUGUCCGGAGUUACUGGGCGUAAAGGGCGCGUAGGCGGCCAGCACAAGUCAGUUGUGAAAUCUCCGAGCUUAACUCGGAAAGGUCAACUGAUACUGUGCGGCUAGAGUGCAGAAGGGGCAACUGGAAUUCUCGGUGUAGCGGUGAAAUGCGUAGAUAUCGAGAGGAACACCUGCGGCGAAGGCGGGUUGCUGGGCUGACACUGACGCUGAUGCGCGAAAGCUAGGGGAGCGAACGGG
rnacentral:rRNA from 1 species